GCCGACGUAGCUCAGUUGGUAGAGCAACGCACUCGUAAGGCGUAGGUCUGGGGUUCGAGUCCCCUCGUCGGCUCCA
rnacentral:tRNA from 1 species